CUCAAACACAACUUCAGGUCAUUUCCUGGACCUGCUGGCUUUGUUGCCUGGACCCAACUCAGUAGUUUUAUUUUGAAAGGGUGGAGUUUGGGAGCUUCAUCACAUGAUGAAGAUCUUCUUAGAUCUUUCUUGUGGUGCCCAAAAUGCACCAGUCCUCACAUGUUUAAACUCAACUGAGUGUCUAACAUCUCUGCAGGUACCAGAGCCUGGGGAGGAGAGGAGGAGCAGAAGAGGAGGAGGGAUGGCAGCCUAAAGAAGAAGAAAGCAUCUGAUGUCUUUGCCCUCGUCUCUCUUCUGUCCCCCUAAAGACAGACGCCAACCCUCAUCAUCAACCCCCCACACUCUCUCUCUGUGAGCCUCCCAACUCACCUGGACCUGGACCUGGACCUGGACCUGGACCUGGACCUGGACCUGGACCUGUCCUGCUCUUCUGUCUGUCGGAGCUGUUCGUCACACAUUUUAAUGUUUUCAUGAGCAUCGUCUUUGGCUCCAGUGGAUGUUUCCCUCUGCAGAGACACCCGUCCCGUUAGAUCUGCCCCUCUUCCCCCCCCGCCCCCCAGCAUGUGAUCCUCCGUGUCACGCUGUUUGUGUCGCCGUGGUGACGGGUUUGCUUUAGAUGAUGUUUGACUGCAUGACGUUGCUGAUUUGGGUGUUUUGGUGCAUUUUUGUUCCUUUCGUUCUCUUUGGAGCUCCGGUAGAACCGAUCGCCUCGUUUCCUGCGCUUUAAGUGCAUAAACUGUUUGUUUGUGUUGACAUGAUGAGAUAUGGAUGGAGACAGGAUUUAACUUUUAGAGGGAAGAUCAGCUGUUAAAUAUAUAGACAAAGCUCUUCUGUGUAUCAAAGACCGAAAAACUACAUCAGAAUGAAGAAAAAUGUCGUAAAUCAGAUCGCACGUUUAGAUUAUUCUCGACUUUUUUAAACGCUGAUUUCUUUUGCUUUGCACUUGACAAGAGAACAAAGAGGAUUCUAGAAAACACGAGACGAAAAUCAAUAAAGCUUUAAAGGAAAUCAAGUUUAUUUAUGACGUUUCAGCACCUGCUGAUAUGCAGCUGAACAUGUGAUUUAAUCAAAAAUAAAAACAGACACUUUAUCUCUUUGCACUUUAAAACAAACCUGAUCAGAAGUCACCAGGAUGUUAUUGAUAUGUGUUUGGUUGCCAUUAGUAACAGUGACCCCCCCCCUACCUGCCCAGUUUAUCCCUGUCACAGCUUUAAUGGGAUUACUUUAGUCCACAGAGCCUGUGGACUUAUUCUCUGUUUACAUCUGUCCAGCUGGAGCGGCUCUGCUUCACCGUCUAUCAAGUUAUUUAUUGAUUGACAGCGAUGACGACGGAUUCCAAGUCUUAUCAAUAUUAAUCAUGUGACCAGAUGUAAUCAGUGUGUGAACCAAUAAAAACGCAGAGAGUCCUUCAUCUUGUGUGUGUGUGUGUGUGAACCUGAGGUCAGAGGUCAACCUGAG
ensembl:lncRNA